rnacentral:rRNA from 1 species
AGUGGGGAAUAUUGGACAAUGGGGGCAACCCUGAUCCAGCCAUGCCGCGUGUGUGAAGAAGGCCUUAGGGUUGUAAAGCACUUUCAGUGGGGAGAAAGGUCAUUCACCUAAUACGUGAGUGAAUUGAUGUUACCCACAGAAGAAGCACCGGCUAACUCCGUGCCAGCAGCCGCGGUAAUACGGAGGGUGCAAGCGUUAAUCGGAAUUACUGGGCGUAAAGCGCACGUAGGUGGUUUGUUAAGCCAGCUGUGAAAUCCCCGGGCUCAACCUGGGCACUGCAGUUGGAACUGGCAAGCUAGAGUAGGGUAGAGGGGUGUGGAAUUCCAGGUGUAGCGGUGAAAUGCGUAGAUAUCUGGAGGAACAUCAGUGGCGAAGGCGACACCCUGGACUCAUACUGACACUGAGGUGCGAAAGCGUGGGGAGCAAA